rnacentral:rRNA from 1 species
UACGAAGGGUGCAGACGUUGCUCGGAAUUACUGGGCGUAAAGGGCGCGUAGGCGGCCUGCUAAGUCGAACGUGAAAUCCCUGGGCUCAACCCAGGAACUGCGUCCGAUACUGGUUGGCUUGAAUCCGGGAGAGGGAUGUGGAAUUCCAGGUGUAGCGGUGAAAUUCGUAGAUAUCAAGCGGAACACCGGUGGCGAAGGCGGCCUUCUGGACGAUGACUGACGCUGAAGCGCGAAAGCGUGGGGAGCAAACAGG